GAAACAAUGGACAAUAUGGCUGGAGAAUGCAGAGAAGUCAUUGAAUCUGAUUCACCACAAAUGGAAACAAUGGACCAUACAGCUGGAGAAUGCAGUGCAGUUAUGGAAUCUGAUCCACUUUUAAUUAAUUACAGUUGCCACCUGUGUUUACAUGACACUUAGUUUGCAGUCAUAAUGAAAUAUAAUUUGUCAUUAUUCAUGCAGUAUUAUUUUGAUUUUUCUUAAUCUUUAUUACUUUAACAUGUCACAAAGGAAUCAAUGGACAACACUGUAGAAGAGUGCAGUGCAUUUUUGGAAUCCACUGGUCGAACCCAAACGGAGAGUCUUCUUCAUAGAAGAAACCUUAUACUUGAGCAAAGUGCAGAGUUCCGAAGAUGUUUGGAAAUUGAUCGACAAAGGAUGCAGAUACAGAAUGAAAUCCAUGAUGCUGCAAAACUCAGAGAGGAGGCAGAGAAAAGGCGUGUAGAUGUAAGUAUCAGUUAGUUUUGUUUUAACUACCCUAGCUUGCUUUACAAUGCAGUCAUGUUCACAAUGAAUACGCCGUAAAGAUGUUUAGCCAUAGAACUAUAAACCGUGUGUUUUUAUUUUUUUUUAACUACAUUUUAACUAAUGUUACGGAUACUUGCAAAUUGUAUAAAGUGCAGCUAAAUGUCAUUAAUGCCUUGACAAGUACUUUUGAAGAAUAUAUUUUGAUAAGCAAAUGACAGCUGUAAGGGAACAAUCAACAACAUUUGGAUAGCCACUGUCUCUAUAACUUUGGUAUUG
rnacentral:lncRNA from 1 species